rnacentral:rRNA from 1 species
UACGGGGGGGGCGAGCGUUGUUCGGAAUUACUGGGCGUAAAGGGUGCGUAGGCGGUGCUCUAAGUCGGAUGUGAAAACUCUGGGCUCAACCCAGAGCCUGCAUCCGAAACUGGAGUGCUAGAGUUCUGGAGGGGGUAGCGGAAUUCCUGGUGUAGCGGUGAAAUGCGUAGAUAUCAGGAGGAACACCGGUGGCGAAGGCGGCUACCUGGACAGAAACUGACGCUGAGGCACGAAAGCUAGGGGAGCAAACAGG